rnacentral:rRNA from 1 species
UUUAAAUGAGACUUCGGUGGAUUUUAAAUUCUUAGUGGCGGACGGGUGAGUAACGCGUGGGCAACCUGCCCUGUACAGGGGGACAACAGCUGGAAACGGCUGCUAAUACCGCAUAAGCGCACAGCAUCGCAUGAUGCCGUGUGAAAAACUCCGGUGGUACAGGAUGGGCCCGCGUUGGAUUAGGUAGUUGGUGAGGUAACGGCCCACCAAGCCGACGAUCCAUAGCCGACCUGAGAGGGUGACCGGCCACAUUGGGACUGAGACACGGCCCAAACUCCCACGGGAGGCAGCAGUGGGGAAUAUUGCACAAUGGGGGAAACCCUGAUGCAGCGACGCCGCGUGAGCGAAGAAGUAUUUCGGUAUGUAAAGCUCUAUCAGCAGGGAAGAAAAUGACGGUACCUGACUAAGAAGCCCCGGCUAACUACGUGCCAGCAGCCGCGGUAAUACGUAGGGGGCAAGCGUUAUCCGGAUUUACUGGGUGUAAAGGGAGCGUAGACGGCUUUGCAAGUCUGAUGUGAAAGGCGGGGGCUCAACCCCUGGACUGCAUUGGAAACUGUGGGGCUUGAGUGCCGGAGAGGUAAGCGGAAUUCCUAGUGUAGCGGUGAAAUGCGUAGAUAUUAGGAGGAACACCAGUGGCGAAGGCGG